rnacentral:rRNA from 1 species
UGAGCGGCGGACGGGUGAGUAACACGUGGGCAACCUGCCUGUAAGACUGGGAUAACCCCGGGAAACCGGGGCUAAUACCGGAUAAUACUUUCUUUUGCAUAAAGGAAAGUUGAAAGGCGGCUUCGGCUGUCACUUACAGAUGGGCCCGCGGCGCAUUAGCUAGUUGGUGAGGUAACGGCUCACCAAGGCGACGAUGCGUAGCCGACCUGAGAGGGUGAUCGGCCACACUGGGACUGAAACACGGCCCAGACUCCUACGGGAGGCAGCAGUAGGGAAUCUUCCGCAAUGGACGAAAGUCUGACGGAGCAACGCCGCGUGAGUGAUGAAGGUUUUCGGAUCGUAAAACUCUGUUGUUAGGGAAGAACAAGUUGGAUAGUAACUGACCCAACCUUGACGGUACCUAACCAGAAAGCCACGGCUAACUACGUGCCAGCAGCCGCGGUAAUACGUAGGUGGCAAGCGUUGUCCGGAAUUAUUGGGCGUAAAGCGCUCGCAGGCGGUCCUUUAAGUCUGAUGUGAAAUCUCGCGGCUCAACCGCGAACGGUCAUUGGAAACUGGAGGACUUGAGUACAGAAGAGGAGAGUGGAAUUCCACGUGUAGCGGUGAAAUGCGUAGAGAUGUGGAGGAACACCAGUGGCGAAGGCGACUCUCUGGUCUGUAACUGACGCUGANGAGCGAAAGCGUGGGGAGCGAACAGGAUUAGAUACCCUGGUAGUCCACGCCGUA